rnacentral:rRNA from 1 species
GUAUGUGCCAGUUCAUACGUUUAUAACGUGAGACUGCGGACGGCUCAGUAAAUCAGUGAUAAUCUGUUUGAUUGUUCCUCCCAUUGGAUAACCGUGGGAAAUCUAGAGCUAAUACGUGCAGUUUAUUGGCGUCAUUCUACGGAGGGCGUCAAAGCAUUUAUUAGACUAAACCAUCUACUAUGCUCGCAUAGUAAGGGGAAUCUAGAUAACUUUGCUGAUCGUAUGGCCUCGUGCCGGCGACGUUUCAAUUGAGUUUCUGCCCUAUCAACUUGUUGGUAAGGUAUUGGCUUACCAAGGUUGCAACGGGUAACGGGGAAUCAGGGUUCGAUUCCGGAGAGGGAGCCUGAGAAACGGCUACCACAUCCAAGGAAGGCAACAGGCGCGCAAAUUACCCAAUCUAGACAGUAGGAGGUGGUGAAGAGAAUUACUAGGUGGUGGCUCAAUGAGCUACCAGUUUGGAAUGAACGUAACUUAAGAAAUUCGAUGAGAAACAACUGGAGGGCAAGUCCUGGUGCCAGCAGCCGCGGUAAUUCCAGCUCCAGUAGUUUGCUUUAAAGUUGUUGCGUUUAAAACGCUCGUAGUUGGAUCACGCAGCAGUGUCCAGUAAUCUGUUGAUUGACUUCUCUCUGGUUGUGUCUGUCACGUUACGGCCUUUCGGAAGCUGUCGGCAACAGAUGUUAACGCUGGCCAUUGUUAGUUGCACGUGAGAUGAAUUGUUGGCCUUUGUUGAGCCGAUAUUCUCGUCUUGCGGAGUGUGCCUUGAAUAAAACAGAGUGCUCAAAGCAGGUUAUCGCCUGAAUGUUAUAGCAUGGAACGAACAAUCGUGUAUAUGUGUACAUCCUAUAACGGUGACGAGCCCCAGGCUUGUUGUUGUUAAGGGUGUGCACGGCACCCACCAAAGUAUGGCUGUUGGUUCCAUAUACGGUGAUGAUUAAGAGGAGCGGUUGGGGGCAUCGGUAUUUGGCCGCGAGAGGUGAAAUUCUUAGACCGGCCAAGGACUAACAAAUGCAAAAGCACUUGUCUAGACCGUAUCCAUUAAUCAAGAACGAAAGUGGGAGGUUCGAAGACGAUCAGAUACCGUCCUAGUUCCCACUGUAAACUAUGCCGACCUGGGAUCAGUCCAGAGGUGUUACAAGCUCUAGAUUGGUCCCCCUGGGAAACCUGAAGUUUUUCGGUUACGGGGAGAGUAUGGUCGCAAGGCUGAAACUUAAAGGAAUUGACGGAAGGGCACCACCAGGGGUGGAGCCUGCGGCUUAAUUUGACUCAACACGGGGAAACUUACCUGGUCCGGACAUCGAUAGGAUUAACAGAUUGAUAGCUCUUUUAUGAUGCGAUGAGUGGUGGUGCAUGGCCGUUCUUAGUUCGUGGAGUGAUCUGUCGGCCUAAUUGCGGUAACGAACGAGACCAUAUUCUCCAUUUAAGAGACAGAAGCAGACGGUUGGCGGUGCAAAGCCUCACGGUUUUGCCUGUCAAUCGUUGUAGGCUGGAUGGAGUGUCGUAUUGUAAAGAUGUGGGUUUACUCGCAAACGUAUGAUAUGACAUGCGGUUCCUCCCUUCUGUUAAGCAGCGGUCGGUGGUUUCCACUGGCUGGUGCCUUAUGGAGAGACAACGAGGUAUAAACAAGCUCGAGGAAGAGUGGCUAUAACAGGUCAGUGAUGCCCUUCGAUGUUCAGGGCUGCACGCGCGCUACAAUGAUAACGACAACGAGUGUCUGCGUCGAAAGACGUGGGUAAUCUUUAAUCGUUAUCGUGAUGGGGAUUGACCGUUGUAAUUGUCGGUCAUGAAAGAGGAAUCCCUAGUAUGCGCAUUUUAUUAGAAUGUGCAGAUUAAGUCCCUGCCCUUUGUACACACCGCCCGUCGCUACUACCGAGUGAAUGGUGUCAUGAUGCGCUGGGACUGGACGUUAGAUGGGUCUUUGGAUUCGUCCGACGCUGGGAUCAGCGUAAAAUGGCGCAAUU